rnacentral:lncRNA from 1 species
UUGAUUGGAGCCAAAAAUAGAGACCGCUGGAGCAGGAGGACCCGAUAAUCAUCAAAAUGUAGAAGCAGUUAUGAGUCGUCAAAAGAAAGGGCUCAAAAAGCAUGCAUUCAUUUGUGUUCUUUUGGCCUUGGUUAAUUCAAUUCUAUUGGGUUACGGUGAGUCUUCAUUCAACACCCUUUUCCUGUUUGCUUUUAAUUUUUACUCUAAAUGUUAAUAUAUAAAUAUUUGGCAUGUAAUUGUAAUCGGAUGGUGGCAUGGUGACGUGAAAUGAAGCUUUUGGGGUGUAGACAUUUGAGUAAUGAGUGGUGCAGUUCUUUUCACAAAAGAAGAUCUUGACAACCGGUAGUCCAAGUAGAGCUUUUGACAAAUUCUUGCAGCAGAUUCACAGUAAAUCCUCUCUCUUCGUUCCUUAAUUUGACAAAUACUUGCAUGUUUAUAUAAGUUUUUAAAUUUCUUUUUAUCUAAUUGGAUAAAUUUGGGAUGAAAUUUCAGUUAAAUGUCACUGAUUUUUUUAAAUUCAAAGUGUUUUACACAGCUGGUUUCUUUGAUUGAUUCCUU